rnacentral:rRNA from 1 species
UACGUAAGGGGCAAGCGUUGUCCGGAAUCACUGGGCGUAAAGAGCUUGUAGGCGGUUUGUCGCGUCUGCUGUGAAAUUUCGGGGCUCAACCCCGAACUUGCAGUGGGUACGGGCAGACUAGAGUGUGGUAGGGGAGACUGGAAUUCCUGGUGUAGCGGUGAAAUGCGCAGAUAUCAGGAGGAACACCGAUGGCGAAGGCAGGUCUCUGGGCCACUACUGACGCUGAGAAGCGAAAGCAUGGGGAGCGAACAGG